AUGCUUCAUGUUUGGAAAAUUAAGGUACCUUUAAAAAUAAAGAUCUUCAUGUGGCUUGUACACAAGCAAGUGGUCUUUACUAAGAAUAACUUGGCAAAUCGUAAUUGGGAGGGUAGUAAACGUUGUUGCUUCUGUGAUGAGGAUAAAUCAAUACAACAUAUUUUCCUUCACCAGUUAGAGAACUGGUUAGCCACAACUUUAAUUGGUGGCGCGCCAUUUUCAACCAACGCCACCACUAUUUUUCUAAAUAGUGGCGGCGUUGUGAUAUUUGGUACGACAUUGCUACGACCUUAG
rnacentral:rRNA from 1 species